AGCUCCAUCGUCUAGUGGUCAAGGAUAUCGCCCUCUGGAGGCGGUGACGCCAGUUCGAAUCUGGCUGGAGCUA
rnacentral:tRNA from 1 species